AUAUUUAUCAUAUUUUUAACACACCCUGACCCAAAUAUACAGAUAUAUAGCCGGAAAUACCUAAUUAAAUCACAAGUAUCAUACUUAAAAUAACUUCGCCGAUUGUCAGCGCUGGUAUAAAAAGAGCAUCUUAAAAUUUGCAAUUGCAAAGUUUGGUUGCGAAGGGUGGUAAAAUGAGGAAAAUAUAUAGCCUUGCAAACCCGGUUUGCAAAUUUCCCUCUAUAUAAGGCUUGAAAUGCCUAUACCAUAUUUUAGGCCUUAUCAACAAAAGUAUACAAAAUUUGCGAAGUUUGCAAGGUAAAUUUUUCGCAUCAUUUACAGCAUUUUGCAACCAAAUUUUGCAAUUUUAAUAAUUUUAGUAUGUUCUUUCUGGGAAUAUACCCUUUUUGCCCAGAUCGAAAAUUACUGUCUAUAUAUUGCAAAUUGUCAAUUUAUUGACUGAUUCAAUUGGCAUUUAGCUGAACGUACGUGGACAGAAGAUUCACGAAAUCUACGACGCGGACAUGACGAAAAACUAGUACUGCCGCUAUUUUGCGUAUUCUCCCAGUUUCACUUCACGCGGCCUGGUAAAAAUGAUGCAUAGUUAUUGGUAGAGACACGAGAAAAACAAAGUAAAAUACUGAUUUCCGAUUAUUAGGGACUGUUACUUUAAUCGCGUCGUAGAUUUGGCGCAUCUUUAGUUCGUUAAUAUAGAUCAAACGAGACGGUAGUCGUCGCAAGCUAAAACUCAUAAAACAUGAAAAGAAGCAUAAUAUACUUCAACAAAG